UCAAUACUUCAAGAUUGGGAA
rnacentral:piRNA from 1 species